UACGUAGGGGGCAAGCGUUGUCCGGAAUUAUUGGGCGUAAAGAGCGUGUAGGCGGUCCGGUAAGUCAGCUGUGAAAGUCAAGGGCUCAACCCUUGAAUGCCGGUUGAUACUGUCGGGCUAGAGUCCGGAAGAGGCGAGUGGAAUUCCCGGUGUAGCGGUGAAAUGCGCAGAUAUCAGGAGGAACACCGGUGGCGAAGGCGGAUCUCUGGGCCUUACCUGACGCUGAGGAGCGAAAGCUAGGGGAGCAAACGGG
rnacentral:rRNA from 1 species